GUCCUCUCGAUUGGAGAUGGGAGGUUUGACCUGCCCGGUGAUGAUUCUUUUAACGGCCGCGGUAUUUUGACCGUGCAAAGGUAGCAUAAUCAUUAGUCUUUUAAUAGGGGGCUAGAAUGAAAGGUUUGACGAAAUAUUAACUGUCUCAUAUUAAAUAAUUAAAAUUUAACUUUUGAGUGAGAAGGCUCAAAUUUUUUUGGAAGACGAGAAGACCCUAUAGAGCUUUAUAAUUUUUGAUUGGAACUGUUAUUUGGUUGUAUUAAAGCUUUCCUUUCCUUAUUAUUUUGUUGGGGUGACAAAAAAUAUAUGUUUAACUUUUUUAGUUAUAUUACACUUAUUUGUGUAUAUUAGAUCCAUUAUUAUUGAUUGUUAGAAUAAGUUACCUUAGGGAUAACAGCGUAAUCUUCUUUGGGAGUUCAAAUUUACAAGAAGGCUUGCGACCUCGAUGUUGGAUUAAGAUUAAAAUUAGGUGCAGUAGCUUAAUUUUUAGGUCUGUUCGACCUUUAAACUCUUACAUGAUCUGAGUUCAGACCGG
rnacentral:rRNA from 1 species